CCUACGGGCUGCAGCAGUGAGGAAUCUUCGUCAAUGGACGAGAGUCUGAACCAGCCAAGUAGCGUGAAGGAUGGCUGCCCUACGGGUUGUAAACUUCUUUUAUAAAGGAAUAAAACGCGGCACGUGUACCUUUUUGCAUGUACUUUAUGAAUAAGGAUCGGCUAACUCCGUGCGAGCAGCCGCGGUAAUACGGAGGAUCCGAGCGUUAUCCGGAUUGAUUGGGUUUAAAGGGAGCGUAGGUGGGUUGUUAAGUCAGUUGUGAAAGUUUGCGGCUCAACCGGAAAAUUGCAAUUGAUACUGGGAGUCUUGAGUACAGUUGAGGUAGGCGGAAUUCGUGGUGUAGCGGUGAAAUGCGUAGAUAUCACGAAGAACCCCGAUUGCGAAGGCAGCUUACUAAACUGUGACUGACAUUGAUGCUCGAAAGUGUGGGUAUCAAACAGGAUUAGAUACCCCUGUAGUC
rnacentral:rRNA from 1 species